rnacentral:rRNA from 1 species
GACCAGACUCCCACGGGAGGCAGCAGUGAGGAAUAUUGGUCAAUGGCCGGAAGGCUGAACCAGCCAAGUCGCGUGAGGGAAUAAGGCCCUAUGGGUCGUAAACCUCUUUUGUCAGGGAGCAAAGGCGUCCACGUGUGGACGAGAGGAGAGUACCUGAAGAAAAAGCAUCGGCUAACUCCGUGCCAGCAGCCGCGGUAAUACGUAGGGGGCAAGCGUUAUCCGGAUUUACUGGGUGUAAAGGGAGCGUAGACGGCUGUGCAAGUCUGAAGUGAAAGCCCGUGGCUCAACCGCGGAACUGCUUUGGAAACUGUAUAGCUUGAGUACUGGAGAGGCAGGCGGAAUUCCUAGUGUAGCGGUGAAAUGCGUAGAUAUUAGGAGGAACACCAGUGGCGAAGGCGGCCUGCUGGACAGAAACUGACGUUGAGGCUCGAAAGCGUGGGGAGCAAACAGGAUUAGAUACCCUAGUAU